ACUCCUACGGGAGGCAGCAGUGGGGAAUUUUGCGCAAUGGGCGAAAGCCUGACGCAGCAACGCCGCGUGAGUGAUGAAGGCUUUCGGGUCGUAAAGCUCUGUCAAUGGGAAAGAAGUGUAUUGAGGCUAAUAUCCUCGAUACUUGACGGUACCCAUAAAGGAAGCACCGGCUAACUCCGUGCCAGCAGCCGCGGUAAUACGGGGGGUGCAAGCGUUGUUCGGAAUUAUUGGGCGUAAAGCGCGUGUAGGCGGUUUGUUAAGUCUGUUGUGAAAGCCCUGGGCUCAACCCAGGAAGUGCACUGGAUACUGGCAGACUUGAAUACGGGAGAGGGUAGUGGAAUUCCUGGUGUAGGAGUGAAAUCCGUAGAUAUCAGGAGGAACACCGGUGGCGAAGGCGGCUACCUGGACCGAUAUUGACGCUGAGACGCGAAAGCGUGGGUAGCAAACAGGAUUAGAUACCCUGGUAGUCCACGCCGUAAACGAUGAGAACUAGGUGUCGCGGGUA
rnacentral:rRNA from 1 species